UACGUAGGUGGCAAGCGUUGUCCGGAUUUACUGGGCGUAAAGAGCGCGCAGGCGGUCGUUCAAGUCGCGUGUGAAAGCCCCCGGCUCAACUGGGGAGGGUCACGCGAUACUGAUCGACUCGAAGGCAGGAGAGGGUAGUGGAAUUCCCGGUGUAGUGGUGAAAUGCGUAGAUAUCGGGAGGAACACCAGUGGCGAAGGCGAUCUUCUGGACCUUUCGUGACUGCUCAGACGCGGACAGCUAGGGUA
rnacentral:rRNA from 1 species